AUGAAGUCGAGCAGCGGCGGCCAUGUCGUGGGAGUCCCGGUGACCUCCAAGGCGUACGGGAUAGAGGAGAAGGCGCCGUCGGCCAGGGACGGCCAGUCGUUCAGGAAGGCGGACGGCGAUCACCUUGCUGUCUCCUUGACGAAUCCUAGCCCCUACACGUCUUUCGGCUACAAGCACAGCAGCAAGGGUCAGGUUGUCCACUGGGUGAGCAAGCUGAGCAGAAGGGCGCAAGGCUUCCGUGAGCAUGUGACCCUGGGUCCCAAGAUAUCUGAGACCGUGAAGGGGAAGCUGAGCCUGGGGGCCAAGAUCCUGCAGGCCGGCGGGAUCGAGCGCGUGUUCCGGAAGGCCUUCACGGCCGAGAAGGGCGAGCGGCUGGUGAAGGCGCUGCAGUGCUACCUCUACACCACCGGCGGCCCCAUCGCCGGGAUGCUCUUCGUCUCCACCAAGAGGAUCGCCUUCCGCAGCGACCGGCCCGUCACUGUCACCUCCCCCAAGGGCGACGUGGCGCGCGUCUCCUACAAGGUGGUCGUCCCGCUCAAGCGGAUCGACAAGGUGCGGCCCAGCGAGAACGUCGACCGGCCGGAGGAGAAGUACAUCCACGUCGCUACCGUCGACGGCUUCGAGUUCUGGUUCAUGGGCUUCGUCAGCUACCAGAGGUCCUGCAAGUACAUGCAGCAGGUCAUCGGCGGCGGCGCGGAGCUGCAAUGA
rnacentral:rRNA from 1 species